GAUGAACGCUAGCGAUAGGCUUAACACAUGCAAGUCGAGGGGCAGCAUGGUCUUAGCUUGCUAAGACUGAUGGCGACCGGCGCACGGGUGCGUAACGCGUAUGCAACUUGCCUCACAGAGGGGGAUAACCCGUCGAAAGACGGACUAAUACCGCGUACACUCCAUCUUGGGCAUCCAAGGUAGAGGAAAUGAAAUUCGCUGUGAGAUAGGCAUGCGUCCCAUUAGCUAGUUGGUGAGGUAACGGCUCACCAAGGCGACGAUGGGUAGGGGAACUGAGAGGUUGAACCCCCACACUGGUACUGAGACACGGACCAGACUACUACGGGAGGCAGCAGUGAGGAAUAUUGGUCAAUGGGCGAGAGCCUGAACCAGCCAAGUCGCGUGAAGGAUGACUGUCUUAUGGAUUGUAAACUUCUUUUAUACGGGAAUAACAAGAGUCACGUGUGACUCCCUGCAUGUACCGUAUGAAUAAGCAUCGGCUAACACCGUG
rnacentral:rRNA from 1 species